rnacentral:rRNA from 1 species
UACGGGGGGGGCUAGCGUUGUCCGGAUUUAUUGGGCGUAAAGAGCGUGUAGGCGGCCAGGUAGGUCUGCUGUGAAAACUCGAGGCUCAACCUCGAGACGUCGGCGGAAACCAUCUGGCUAGAGUCCGGAAGAGGAGAGUGGAAUUCCUGGUGUAGCGGUGAAAUGCGCAGAUAUCAGGAAGAACACCCGUGGCGAAGGCGGCUCUCUGGGACGGUACUGACGCUGAGACGCGAAAGCGUGGGGAGCGAACAGG